GACGAACGCUGGCGGCGUGCCUAAUACAUGCAAGUAGAACGCUGAAGGAGGAGCUUGCUCUUCUGGAUGAGUUGCGAACGGGUGAGUAACGCGUAGGUAACCUGCCUGGUAGCGGGGGAUAACUAUUGGAAACGAUAGCUAAUACCGCAUAAGAGUAGAUGUUGCAUGACAUUUACUUAAAAGGUGCAAUUGCAUCACUACCAGAUGGACCUGCGUUGUAUUAGCUAGUUGGUGGGGUAACGGCUUACCAAGGCGACGAUACAUAGCCGACCUGAGAGGGUGAUCGGCCAAACUGGGAUUGAGACACGGCCCAGACUCCUACGGGAGGCAGCAGUAGGGAAUCUUCGGCAAUGGACGGAAGUCUGACCGAGCAACGCCGCGUGAGUGAAGAAUGUUUUCGGAUCGUAAAGCUCUGUUGUAAGAGAAGAUCGAGUGUGAGAGUGGAAAGUUCACACUGUGACGGUAUCUUACCAGAAAGGGACGGCUAACUACGUG
rnacentral:rRNA from 1 species